UUGCCUACGGGGGGCAGCAGUGGGGAAUAUUGCACAAUGGGGGAAACCCUGAUGCAGCGACGCCGCGUGAGUGAAGAAGUAUCUCGGUACGUAAAGCUCUAUCAGCAGGGAAGAAAAAAAGUCUUUGGCUUUGGACGGUACCUGACUAAGAAGCCCCGGCUAACUACGUGCCAGCAGCCGCGGUAAUACGUAGGGGGCAAGCGUUAUCCGGAUUUACUGGGUGUAAAGGGAGCGUAGACGGCGCGGCAAGUCUGAAGUGAAAGGCAGGGGCUUAACCCCUGAACUGCUUUGGAAACUGCCAUGCU
rnacentral:rRNA from 1 species